rnacentral:rRNA from 1 species
AAACCGUUCAGGGGUAAACCUAAGAAACCCAAAAGAUCGAACGGGGAGAUUCAUCGUCAGCGGCGCUGGCUUCGCGUCGGUCGGCGAUGCACCCGCGGUGCCGUUAAUCUCGGCUCUCGCGCGGGCACGCUGCCGCGCGCCGAUGUCCGGCGCUCGUCGUCGUGCACUUCUCCCCUAGUAGGACGUCGCGACCCGCUGGGUGUCGGUCUACGGCCCGGGUGCGGUGACUGUCGCGUCGCCGGUAAAACGGCACGCGGCAAACUCCCGGUCGCCCGGCCGGCUGCCCGGCGGUACACGCUACGGUAUCAGGCCGCGCUACGAGCGCGUCGAGCCCGUCGCAAGCGAGCGCCACGGUACUCGGAGGUACGGACCYAGCGCCGUCCCCGGUCCUGGCCCGCUGUUAGCUGUUACGGUGCAACCUUCGACGGGCCUUCUCCCGGGUGCGCGGCAACGCGCGCGCGGGAUACCGGUCGGCGACGCUACUGCUUUGGGUACUCUCAGGA